GCUGGGUGUGGUGACGCAUGCCUGUAGUCCCAGCUACUCAGGAGGCUGAGGCAGAAGAAUCGCUUGAACCCAGGAGAUGGAGGUUGCAGUAAGCCGAGAUCACACCACUACACUCCAGCCUGGGUGACAGAGCGAGACUCUGUCUCAA
rnacentral:SRP_RNA from 1 species